AUCCAGUUGGCGAGUCCCGAAUAGGACGAAACGCGCGCCAUGGAU
rfam:Schistosoma mattheei strain Denwood, Zambia genome assembly, scaffold: SMTD_scaffold0000751